rnacentral:rRNA from 1 species
GUUAAGCGACUAAGCGUACACGGUGGAUGCCCUGGCAGUCAGAGGCGAUGAAGGACGUGCUAAUCUGCGAUAAGCGUCGGUAAGGUGAUAUGAACCGUUAUAACCGGCGAUUUCCGAAUGGGGAAACCCAGUGUGUUUCGACACACUAUCAUUAACUGAAUCCAUAGGUUAAUGAGGCGAACCGGGGGAACUGAAACAUCUAAGUACCCCGAGGAAAAGAAAUCAACCGAGAUUCCCCCAGUAGCGGCGAGCGAACGGGGAGCAGCCCAGAGCCUGAAUCAGUGUGUGUGUUAGUGGAAGCGUCUGGAAAGGCGCGCGAUACAGGGUGACAGCCCCGUACACAAAAAUGCACAUGCUGUGAGCUCGAUGAGUAGGGCGGGACACGUGGUAUCCUGUCUGAAUAUGGGGGGACCAUCCUCCAAGGCUAAAUACUCCUGACUGACCGAUAGUGAACCAGUACCGUGAGGGAAAGGCGAAAAGAACCCCGGCGAGGGGAGUGAAAAAGAACCUGAAACCGUGUACGUACAAGCAGUGGGAGCACGCUUAGGCGUGUGACUGCGUACCUUUUGUAUAAUGGGUCAGCGACUUAUAUUCUGUAGCAAGGUUAACCGAAUAGGGGAGCCGAAGGGAAACCGAGUCUUAACUGGGCGUUAAGUUGCAGGGUAUAGACCCGAAACCCGGUGAUCUAGCCAUGGGCAGGUUGAAGGUUGGGUAACACUAACUGGAGGACCGAACCGACUAAUGUUGAAAAAUUAGCGGAUGACUUGUGGCUGGGGGUGAAAGGCCAAUCAAACCGGGAGAUAGCUGGUUCUCCCCGAAAGCUAUUUAGGUAGCGCCUCGUGAAUUCAUCUCCGGGGGUAGAGCACUGUUUCGGCAAGGGGGUCAUCCCGACUUACCAACCCGAUGCAAACUGCGAAUACCGGAGAAUGUUAUCACGGGAGACACACGGCGGGUGCUAACGUCCGUCGUGAAGAGGGAAACAACCCAGACCGCCAGCUAAGGUCCCAAAGUCAUGGUUAAGUGGGAAACGAUGUGGGAAGGCCCAGACAGCCAGGAUGUUGGCUUAGAAGCAGCCAUCAUUUAAAGAAAGCGUAAUAGCUCACUGGUCGAGUCGGCCUGCGCGGAAGAUGUAACGGGGCUAAACCAUGCACCGAAGCUGCGGCAGCGACGCUUAUGCGUUGUUGGGUAGGGGAGCGUUCUGUAAGCCUGUGAAGGUGUGCUGUGAGGCAUGCUGGAGGUAUCAGAAGUGCGAAUGCUGACAUAAGUAACGAUAAAGCGGGUGAAAAGCCCGCUCGCCGGAAGACCAAGGGUUCCUGUCCAACGUUAAUCGGGGCAGGGUGAGUCGACCCCUAAGGCGAGGCCGAAAGGCGUAGUCGAUGGGAAACAGGUUAAUAUUCCUGUACUUGGUGUUACUGCGAAGGGGGGACGGAGAAGGCUAUGUUGGCCGGGCGACGGUUGUCCCGGUUUAAGCGUGUAGGCUGGUUUUCCAGGCAAAUCCGGAAAAUCAAGGCUGAGGCGUGAUGACGAGGCACUACGGUGCUGAAGCAACAAAUGCCCUGCUUCCAGGAAAAGCCUCUAAGCAUCAGGUAACAUCAAAUCGUACCCCAAACCGACACAGGUGGUCAGGUAGAGAAUACCAAGGCGCUUGAGAGAACUCGGGUGAAGGAACUAGGCAAAAUGGUGCCGUAACUUCGGGAGAAGGCACGCUGAUAUGUAGGUGAAGCGACUUGCUCGUGGAGCUGAAAUCAGUCGAAGAUACCAGCUGGCUGCAACUGUUUAUUAAAAACACAGCACUGUGCAAACACGAAAGUGGACGUAUACGGUGUGACGCCUGCCCGGUGCCGGAAGGUUAAUUGAUGGGGUCAGCGCAAGCGAAGCUCUUGAUCGAAGCCCCGGUAAACGGCGGCCGUAACUAUAACGGUCCUAAGGUAGCGAAAUUCCUUGUCGGGUAAGUUCCGACCUGCACGAAUGGCGUAAUGAUGGCCAGGCUGUCUCCACCCGAGACUCAGUGAAAUUGAACUCGCUGUGAAGAUGCAGUGUACCCGCGGCAAGACGGAAAGACCCCGUGAACCUUUACUAUAGCUUGACACUGAACAUUGAGCCUUGAUGUGUAGGAUAGGUGGGAGGCUUAGAAGUGUGGACGCCAGUCUGCAUGGAGCCGACCUUGAAAUACCACCCUUUAAUGUUUGAUGUUCUAACGUUGACCCGUAAUCCGGGUUGCGGACAGUGUCUGGUGGGUAGUUUGACUGGGGCGGUCUCCUCCUAAAGAGUAACGGAGGAGCACGAAGGUUGGCUAAUCCUGGUCGGACAUCAGGAGGUUAGUGCAAUGGCAUAAGCCAGCUUGACUGCGAGCGUGACGGCGCGAGCAGGUGCGAAAGCAGGUCAUAGUGAUCCGGUGGUUCUGAAUGGAAGGGCCAUCGCUCAACGGAUAAAAGGUACUCCGGGGAUAACAGGCUGAUACCGCCCAAGAGUUCAUAUCGACGGCGGUGUUUGGCACCUCGAUGUCGGCUCAUCACAUCCUGGGGCUGAAGUAGGUCCCAAGGGUAUGGCUGUUCGCCAUUUAAAGUGGUACGCGAGCUGGGUUUAGAACGUCGUGAGACAGUUCGGUCCCUAUCUGCCGUGGGCGCUGGAGAACUGAGGGGGGCUGCUCCUAGUACGAGAGGACCGGAGUGGACGCAUCACUGGUGUUCGGGUUGUCAUGCCAAUGGCACUGCCCGGUAGCUAAAUGCGGAAGAGAUAAGUGCUGAAAGCAUCUAAGCACGAAACUUGCCCCGAGAUGAGUUCUCCCUGACCCUUUAAGGGUCCUGAAGGAACGUUGAAGACGACGACGUUGAUAGGCCGGGUGUGUAAGCGCAGCGAUGCGUUGAGCUAACCGGUACUAAUGAACCGUGAGGCUUAACCUUAC